AUGCGGUCACCCUUUGUCUCUUCGGCUUCAACAAAGACCUUCGUCUCAAUCCUCAUCGCCUUCUUGACUCUGCAGCGCUUAGCACACGGCUUGUCUGGAACAAAUGUUUGCACGUCACGAGUUAGUUCAAAAACUUCAAGACUGAGUUCCCAGAGUAGUCGAUACACGUAUCGAUAUACAUACCGUUGUUUCAGUGCUUGGACUUGGUUUACAUGCUCAGCUACAGGUAUUGGCUAUCGUUUUGGGUACUAUACUUCCUACUACACUACCUACUCGACUACUCAAUUCUGCUGCUUUGGCUAUGACCAAG